AACGAACGCUGGCGGCGUGCUUAACACGAUGCAAGUCGAACGCGAAAGGGACUUCGGUCCUGAGUAAAGUGGCGCACGGGUGAGUAACGCGUAGAUAACCUGUCUUCAUGUCUGGAAUAAUACGCCGAAAGGGGUACUAAUACCGGAUAUUCUUGCUUUUCAUAAGUUAUGCAAGCAAAGGUGGCCUCUGCAUAUGCUACUGCAUGAAGAGGGGUCUGCGUACCAUUAGCUAGUAGGUGGGGUAGUGGCCUACCUAGGCGACGAUGGUUAGCGGGUCUGAGAGGAUGAUCCGCCACACUGGCACUGGAACACGGGCCAGACUCCUACGGGAGGCAGCAGUGAGGAAUAUUGCGCAAUGGGGGAAACCCUGACGCAGCGACGCCGCGUGAGUGAAGGAAGGCCUUCGGGUCGUAAAGCUCUGUCAAGAGGAAAGAAGUGUACAAUGGCUAAUACCUGUUGUAUUUGACGGUACCUCUAAAGGAAGCACCGGCUAACUCCGUGCCAGCCGCUGC
rnacentral:rRNA from 1 species